rnacentral:pre_miRNA from 1 species
GUAGGUGGAAUUCAGCACCAAGGACAGGUGUGUUAACCUGUGUAUGGAUGGUGUUUGGCAUCAGGGACAAGUAUGUUUAUAU